UCUCCCCCAGAGGUCAUAGCCCCUCUCUCUCCUCAAAGCUUUUUAACAGCGCCCGCCCGGCCUCAGAACCGCCCAGAGAGGAGCCGCCCUGGAUGGACAGAGGGACGGAGGGACGCGCAUCCAGCCGGUCGCGUCCAGCUGCCCGCAGCGGUCUCCGACUCUUGCUGCUGCCUGCCCGCUGCCCGCCUGCCCGGCAUCUCUCGAUCCCGGUACCUGUUGGGAGGAUCAGUUUUCCCUAGUCUACGGCUACUGGAAGCUCAGAGUCAGACAGUGACUUGCCCAGGAUCCCCCGGUCACAGGAUGGUAGGAUCUGGGCUUGAGCUUGGGACACUAUGUGGCAGAGGAAUCGCCGUCCAUGUUAAAGUAUCCGUUAAAGUUUUUAAAUGUUUACUUAUUUUUGAGAGAGAGGAGGGGCAGAGAGAGGGAGACAAGG